rnacentral:rRNA from 1 species
GACGAACGCUGGCGGCGUGCUUAACACAUGCAAGUCGAACGGAAAGGCCCUGCUUUUGUGGGGUGCUCGAGUGGCGAACGGGUGAGUAACACGUGAGUAACCUGCCCUUGUCUUUGGGAUAACUUCAGGAAACUGGGGCUAAUACCGGAUAGGAGCUCCUGCUGCAUGGUGGGGGUUGGAAAGUUUCGGCGGUUGGGGAUGGACUCGCGGCUUAUCAGCUUGUUGGUGGGGUAGUGGCUUACCAAGGGUUUGACGGGUAGCCGGCCUGAGAGGGUGACCGGCCACAUUGGGACUGAGAGACGGACCAGACUCCUACGGGAGGCAGCAGUGGGGAAUAUUGCACAAUGGGCGGAAGCCUGAUGCAGCAACGCCGCGUGCGGGAUGACGGCCUUCGGGUUGUAAACCGCUUUCGCCUGUGACGAAGCGUGAGUGACGGUAAUGGGUAAAGAAGCACCGGCUAACUACGUG